rnacentral:lncRNA from 1 species
GAGAGAGAGAGAGAGAGAGAGAGAGAGAGAGAGCACUGACUUACUUUAGAAGCACUCUGUCUAGUCCACCCCUAGUUAUUUGUGGCUGUACCAAAGGGGGAAAAAAUGGCUGGAGAUUCACAGAGGGCUCACGGACUGCAUUCCACUUAGCCCACUCUUGCAUCCCUGUAGGUUGCUGAAUGUCAUCCAGUUGACCUGCUUGAGUUAAUCAAUGUGUGUUUUCCUGGUCCCUCCACCUUGAGGCGUGUUCGUGGGAAGUGGAAUGACUGAGAAGGAGGCAGUGGGCAGGAAGAGGAAGAAGACCGGAGCCCCAAAUUGAUUAAACAGACCCCAGAUGAUCACCAGCUCACAGGGGACGGCGAGAGGUUUUAACCACCCACAGCUCUCCGUAGCCCAGAGAGUCCCUUCACAGGUCAGAUCCCUCUCUUGGCCAUCUAUUUUUAGAUUGCUCACUUUUCAUCUCCUGUUAGAACUGUGCUGCUAGAGCAGUUUCAGAAGAGACAUACUUGUGGUAGUAAUGGAAGCAUCUAUCGAUCGUACCAAGAUUGGAGAAUCAGAUCUACUUUGCAGGUCUUUUAAGUACCACUCAUUCACUAGCCCUCUCCCAGUGUUCCACCGCGGCAAGCUAACAUUUGCACACAUCUUCAACAUUUUGGAACCUUUUUAAAAAUGCAUGUUACCACACGAGCAUUUCUCAAUUGCCCUGUCAGCUUUAAGGUUUUUGCAGUGGAAGAAAAAUUGUUAAGUGUUUAUGAGGGAAGGUCUUAGAGUCAUUUAGCUGCUAAAUGUCACAGACCUAACACAACCAUAGCCUGCCUUUCCAAGAGGGAUUAGGAUGUCCUCUUGGACACCCUGGGUUGAGUAAAGCAAACAAACACAAAGAGUCCUGCAUCUGGAAUAAUUGCUGACAUGCAAGGUUUGCUAAUCUUUCUGGUGCUCCUGUCUGAUCUCCUCAGUGCCAGGAGCUGUUCCGGGUGCUUGCCUUCCAUGCUCACCACAGUCAGUGAGACCACACUCAGCUAGAAAAGAGUGUCCACGCUGAGGGGAAAUCAACAGAAAAAUGUGUCUGUAUAGAUUGUAGGGCCCUGGUAGAGGGUGAACUUUAGGAAGUUGGGGGGCCAUAUGAAUCCUGUGGCAGGUAAAGGGGUGCUGCUGAGAGUUUCCGGCAUGAAGGCACGACUUCCUUCCUGGGCCAUCUCUCACCUUCCCUAUAAUCUCUCGAGGGAGGUGAAAUGUUGGGACUACUCCAUUGCUAUUUUUCAAGUUUGGGGAAGGUGUGAUUUUGCUAGAAUGGAUAUUGUCAAUGACAAAACUGAGUCCCUGAGCCAAAUGGCUUCGAUGGUUAGUGUUGAUUUCCAACUUGGCAGGAUCUGAAAUCACCCUGGAGACAGGUUUCCAGGCACACUUGUGAGGGAUGAUUUAGAUCCAUAUAGUCCCUGGGCAGGCCUAUGAGGGACUUCCUUGGUUAAGCUAACGGAGAUGAGAAGAGCCAUCCUCUAAUUGUACUUGUGUUCUGGACAGCAUUCCAAAGAGAAGGAAGGAAGCCUCCCAAGGGGAUUCACCACCCUGGUCCCCGUCUGUAGAUGCAGCACAACCAACUGUCUCAUGUUCCUACCAGCAGCGUUUCUCCACCCUGAUGGACUUUGAACUGUGAACCAAAUAAAGCCCUUUCUCCCAUAAACUACUUUUGUCAGGAUAUUUUAUCACAGUGAUGGGAAAAGAAACUAGUUCAGUGGUGUUUGCAGAAAUUUGAUAAGGAAAUGGCUUGAAGAAUCUUGAAUGCAUUCAAAGGGGGGAAUCCUUUAGCAUCGACCGAAGAAACCCAUGCAGUGGAUUUUAAAGUUAGACAACUGAAAAUAUCAACUCGAAGGGCAACAAUUUGAUUGGUUAUGAUUCUCAGUGGGAUAGGAGGGAGGAGAUGACCCCUGGAUCUAAAAACAGGUGCCAUGCCUCUAUGAGUCUUUCUCUUCCUCUGACAGAUCCAUGAGUAAUUGACUUCAUUUACCAAACAGGCUGAGCACACGUAAAAUUAGGCUACUCAUCUGAACGAGGGGAAAAAAAACUCCUGUUUCCCGGCGUAGUCUCAGAGCACCAUGUGUGAGAGAACACGACAGAAUAGAACUGAUUAUGCAAAAUGAGCGAAAAGAGAACUGCAUCUCUUGGUGGCAUGUGGCAGCCUUGCAGGGAAGGCAGAGCCCAGGGACACUGGGUGCUAUCUCUGACAGCCAUGUGUCACAAAACUGAAUGGCAGGAUGGGGCUAAGAUAUGGGCUUGUAUGUCCUUGUACACAGCCCUCCGAGAUAUGCCUGCAGUACACACAAACUACUCACACAUUCAAAAGAUGCCCUGAGGGGCCACUAGUGACAACAUCCACAUGGAGGAAAAAGGAAAACACUAUUCAUCCCCCCCCCAGCCCUGUUUUUUGGGUUAUCCCAUAGUCUCCACUCUGGUCUUUAAGGAUCCCUCUAGAGAUUUGAAUAGCCUUUGAGAACCCUGCCCACUCAGCACAGUGACUGCAAAAGCUUUGAAGAGGCUGGAAAUGAUUGCCUGCUUACAUAGAGAGGUAGUAAGGAGGUGAGGAUGGAGAGAGGCUUUUUAGUUCUCCAAGAACAUAGACAGACAGGGAAUCCAAGUGGUGUUCUGAAGAUGAGGAUGCUUGCUCAGUGUGUCUACUGUGAGCCUAGUAGCUAUCUAGGGUCCUGGGUCCCUACUGCAAAAAUAAAUAGAUAAUGCCUUACUUUAAGAUCCCUCUCCAAAGUGUGUCUAUAGAUAUGUAUAUACUUACGACUGAAUCCAGACAUUAAUGACAUUCGGUGCAUAAAAGCACGUGUCCUCCACGAAGGUUUGAAGACCUACGUAAUGAACUCUGUAUACUGAUGCCUAGUUGCAAUCAUGGCAGUAUAGACUCACCAGGAGAAAAUGACAUGACUGCAAGACUGGGUGCUUUGACAACAGACAUUUGAUUCUCUGUCCCUUCAUCAUCUUGGGAACGGACAAUAGGAUUCUAAGGACAGUGUCUCAGAGCAGAAGGACUUGCUCUGUUCAAAACUUGGAAAAUCUGAAUGAUAAGAUAAUUAAAUCGAUCACAGAUCACAAACCACUGGGGGAGGGGGGUUACAAAAAAUGUGCAUCCAUGCUGAUCCUGAAAGUAAUUCAAGGAGAAGAAGGCAUUCUUGCUUAGAGCUAAGUCUUCAAGACCAGUUGGUAAACUUCGGAAAACCAUGAUUUUUGUAAGCAUUAUGGUGCAGACUAGAAGUGUCGCUUUGAUGCUAAGUCUCAUAGGGAACUUUGAAAAAAGCAGGAUAUCUUCAUGGUUUAAAAGUAUGCGUGUGUGGGAAGGAGAGUUUUCUGAAAUAUAGAAUGUUGGCUGACAGUACCGGGGAACAGGUUGGCCAUACUGGGCCUGAGGGAAAACUGGGUCGGCCCCAGACUCCUUCUUCAUGGUCUUAAAAUACAGGAGAUACUGGAAGCAACAGCCAACGGCUGUAAAGAGGAUGGUGAUUCAUGAAUUCUAUAUGAAGCCAGAUCAUUGUUCUGUGAAGGGAACAGAAUGUUAUUUUAAGCUAUGCGAUGACUUAAAAAAUAUACAACUCAUUUACUCUUUUUGACAACUACUCUAGGUACCUGAGUGACUAACUAAAGACAAGACAUUCUUGGCACAAAAGUCCUCAAACCAUCUAAAUAAGAGUUUCUCUAACACUUUGAAGUAUUUUUGAGGGAAUUGAAUACAAGAUGUCAUCAAUACUUCCUAAAAUAAUUCUCAGCAUGAAGUAAUAUUGGUAGCACCAACACCGAUUUAAAACUAUGAAAUAAAACAAAAAAAAUCCAUAUUAACUCACAAGAAGAUGGGUUCAAGGGGAAGGGGUGAGAAAGUUUAUAUUAAUCUCACUGUUUGCUGGGAAGGUGAUGUGAAUCCCAGAUUUGACAGGAAGGAGAUAUAGUUCACUCCAGUGCUGUAACUGGUGAGUUUGUGAUGACGCUUAGACUCACAUGGAAUCUGGUAAAAGAUGCUGAAGCAUCCUUGCCAUGAUCACAAUAGGUGACUACAGUUAACCCCUAGGCCUUAAAGCAGUGGUUCUCAACCAUCCUAAUGCUGCAGCCCUUUAAAAACAGUUCCUCAUGUUGUGGCGAACCCAACCAUAAAAUCGUUUUCAUUGCUACUUCUUAGCUAUAAUUUUGCUACUGUUAUGAAUCAUAAUGUAAAUAUCUGAUAAGCAGGAUCCCUGAUAUGUGAACCCUGCAAAAGGGUCUUUCAAACCAAAGGGGGUCACGACCCACAGGUUGAGAACCACCCCAGGAAGGAGGGAUUGCUGUAACUAUGUGAGCAAUGGCUAUAGCCAUGGCUGCAGGAGAGCAACCCCAUUUGGAGCCAUCUUCAGUAGAAGAAUAUGGUCCUACACACUUGGAAUCCUUCUGGAAGCAAGUUUGAAGUCAUUACACUCGGCUUCCAUUCCCCACAUCCCCCAUACUCUGCCACAGCCAGCCAGUGGCUAGAUGCCAGGGUAAUCUGUGAUUGAAGAAGCCUUGUUGAUAUGCCAAGAUAUCAGUCUCUGAGCCUCCAGGACCUCAGGAGAAACCACAGGACAUUCAGCAGUAACAGUGGAUACCGUCAUUUAGGGUAUUUGUCUCACUAAAGAUACAGAGGAAACGAGUCAAAUCAAUUUGACACGUGGUGUGUUUUCUGCUCUAGGAGCCUAAAAUUCAUCCAUACUCUACAAACAGUAAGAACUAGAGUGAAAGGCCCAUUCACCCUGAGUGUCUAAAAUGUAUUUCAUGGUAGAAUUUGUCAAGAAUGACAACUCUUGAUACCCAUGGAAUUGGGAAAUACAAUACUAACACGUUCAAGAAUGUGCUUUCUACUUUACAAACCACAACUAAUGAAAACUCAUAAAGCAAAAAAAGAGAGAGAAAAUAAUACCAAAGGGCCCUCUAAAACUAGAAAGCUCCAUAAGUUAGUUAAGCCAAAACAUAAAGGACACAGAUCCCUUACAGAAAGACAGAAGCUGCUCAAAUUAACUUUGAAAUAAUAAGUUAACAAGAACCUUAUUUCAUUUUUUAAAAACAAAGUUUUAGAAAUUACAUAUAAAUGAUUACUAUUUGGAAGUAUCCCAAAUGCCCCUUGCUUUGGAAUUUGCCUUUGCCUGAGCUUGAAGAUGAUCAAGGAGAUAAGAAAAGACAGUUGUUAAAAUGGAAGAGGGAAAUUAAUGCUGAAUUUCUAACAUCUGCAUCUAGAAUCUUAGUUGCAAUGCUAGGGAAAAGUAUUUCAGGGUCUUUAUAGAUCUCCCUCCUAAACCCAGCAAGGGUUAGAGCUGAUGGGUCAUUUUCAUACUGUGCAUAAGACCCAAAGAGGAAACACUUAAAACAGAGGGAUUGAAAGACAAAAAAGUUACUCCUCUCAUUUUCCCAAAAUGGAAGGGCAGUUGAGAAGGGAGAGAUGGGUGGAACAUGGUGUCCUGUUUCCCAAGCUGGGCACUGAUCUGGAGAGGGCAUGGUGAGGGCUAAGGGGUUGAGACUGUGUCUCUACAGCAAGCUCAGGGAGACCCAUGAAACUAAACUCAGACAUGUCGAGUGGGUAAGCAAAUGAAGGGAUUUAGUUUAGCUGUAUAAGAGUUCCUUUGUUAUGGACAGAAUAAAGAACUUCCAACAUUCCCUAGGGAGAGAUGUCAUAGGUAGCUAAGGGUAUUGUCUAGGCAACCUGCCUCACUGGGCCUUUCUUUGUCCAGUGACAUGCUCUUGAGGGGUCAGAGGCAGAGGCUAAUGGCUAAUCCUGAAGGAAGAAUGCAAGUCCCCAUCAAAACCAUUAGUCUUCUUGGGCCAAUGGUAGCUAAAGCCCCAUCAUCAAGGGAAGAGGGGUGCAUUGCUUCAGUUAUAACACAGUACCCAGGAGACAUCAUAGGGGUCGCUGUUGCCCAUCUCUAACCAGUGAUAAUUCACACCUGAUUCUUAUUCAGCCUUUACAUUCGAGAGGCUGUGAAAGAUGAAGGAUGGACUGAGACACUGUCUUAGAGUGGAUUUGGAAGGAUAUUGUGACCUGCUGUCCCCAUUGGCCUGGUCAGGAUGUGGGAAUUUUAGUGCCCAUACCGAGACCAUAUGAGCAAACCAGUAUAAGCCUAUCACUACAUGGGUAGCCAAACGGAAAGGUUGGAAGCUACUUUAUCAUCCAGGCUCAGCUUGAGCUGCUUGGAGACCACUUAAACUAAUAUUCUGGAGUGAGUCAUCCAAAUUGGGCUCAAAUUUACUUACCGAUCUUCUCCCUUUCCCUCAGUUCUUCAGUACUAGGAGAUCAUAGCAAUUUCAGAACGAUGUCAUCACACAACUGAGAGUAAUAAGAUAGAGCGUGCCAAAGAGAGCAGUCCCCACAACAGCAAAACUAAAUAAGCAGCAUGACACAAAGUGGAGGAACCGCUUCUGAAGGAGGAAUUCGUAUAGAAUUCAUCAUCCACCAUGACGAAUAGAAAAUCCACAGCCAUGGGGGAUGGAAGAAGCAGUGUUACAUACUGAGCUACAGGGAGUGUCAGAGUGUGGGCUCCCUAGAGCAUGGGUGUCAGUAAGUCCUGUGACUUCUGAAGUUUAUAACCUAGGCAGGGAUUCACUGACUGAAUACAGGAGGGGAAAUGCUGUACAAUACAGCAGUUCUCUUGAGAAAGCCAACUGCUGGAAACCAGGGAGGGAUGAUAAGGCAAAUAUAAUUUAUUGGACAGAAGAGAGGUGUUCUGAUUUUGUGUGUGUGUGUGUGUGUGUGUUCAUAAGACAAAGUACUCAGACCAAAAUCAACUUGAGGAAGAAAGGGUUUAAUUCAUCUUACACUUCCAGAGUACAGCCUAUCGCUGAGGGAAGUUGGGAUAGGAACACUGCUUGCCCCUCACUCUACGUGCUGAGCCCUGUAACCAGGACUACCCACCUAGGUAUGGUACCUCCCAUGGUCCUUUUACAUGAAUUAGCAAUCAUGAAGAUGCCCCACAGUCAUGUUCAUGGGCCAAUCUGAUCUAGGCAAUUCUCUGAUUGAGAUUCUUCUUCCCAAGUGACUCUAACAUGAAUCAGAAAACCCAACCAGGACAGGAGAGAAAGACAGAUAUCCAGAUAAGUCCCCUUAAUUCAAUGGUUCUCAACCUUCCUAAUACUGUGACCCUUUAAUACACAUCCUCAUGCUGUGGUGACCCCCAAUCAUAAAAUUAUUUUCAUUGCUGUUUCAUAACUAAAUUUGAUACUGCUAUGAAUUGUAAUAUAAAUAUCUGCUAUUCAAUCCAUGUGAAAGGGUCAUUAGUUGUCCCCAAGGGGUAGCAACCUAUUGCUUUAAUAUAUCAGCAGGAAGAAAACUAGGAAGAAAUAUAAGAAAGAAAGAUAAAAAUUUUCUAAGCUCAUAUAAUACUGGAAACUGAACACAGUUUCGGCUAUAAGAUGGGAGCAAUGCUGUAAGGAUGAGCAUGCAACCAGAAGGGACUAACCCUGGUAUGGGAAUAACAGCAUCUCUGGGCUUGUCCUAGCAAGGUUAAAACCAAGGUGACAAGAGGAUUAAACUGAACUGAAAUCAGUUAACCACACUCUACAACAAAGUCCCACAUGGAAAGAAUACAACCUGGUACCUGGAAAUAUAAAGUUCACAAUGCCCAGUAUCUCAUAAAAAUAUCAACAAGGAUUCAAAGUUACAGGGAACCGUGACUCUUAACAAGAAGAAUACGUCAUAAGUAGAAAGAGAUACAGAAAUAACAGGUGAUGUGAUUACUGGAAAAAGACUUAAAGCCACUAUUAAUGUGCAAGUUUUAUAAAUAUGGUCAAGCAUUUAAGGACAUUAUGUACAUGAAAAAGAGAAAACAGAAGAGUUUAAGAGUAGGCAGAUAAACCCUAAUGGGAAACCCUAUUAAAAACUACCUGUAAUAAAAAUCAUAGUGAAUAGGACUAGUGGCAGAGUAAACAUGGCAGUGAGUUGGUAUCACAGCAAGAGAAACUCCUCCAGAUAACAUAUAGGUGUUUUUGCAAAUUCAAAGAAAGUGGACAGAGAACUGACGACCUGGGGGAAAGUAUCAGGAAGUUUGACAUACAUGCGAUUGAGUUCCAAGGAAGAGAGAAGAAAGAACAAUAUAGUUUCUUCUGAAUUUACAGGAGAUUUCUAUCACAAUAAAUGCCUCUAGAAGUGGAAACUAUCAUUAGGUCCGAAGUGUAUUUUAUCCAUUCCUACUGAAUAUCAUAUCCGCUCCCACAGUGCAGUGUGGUAAGAGCUUUUUUCCCUGGUGUUGACAUGUCUGAUUGGAGCUGUGGGUCACAGCAGCUGUCAGUCCUGAGAUGGGAUUGCUCUGCAUAUCAUUAGCAUUGAAAGACUCUAAAUUCAAAACUUGAAGCAUAGUUUCUACCUAAUGACAAUCAUUUUUGCAGUAUUCGACUAUGAGCAGAGGUAGAAACAGUAAAUGGGGUCUGUGACUAGGCACCUUCAGAUAAAACAAUACACAGCUCUCUG